rnacentral:rRNA from 1 species
GAUGAACGCUAGCUACAGGCUUAACACAUGCAAGUCGAGGGGUAACGAGAGGAAAGCUUGCUUUCCUUGUCGACGACCGGCGCACGGGUGAGUAACGCGUAUCCAACCUGCCCCCAACUAGGGAAUAACCUUGCGAAAGUAAGACUAAUACCCUAUAAUUUCCUCAGAUGUCAUCUGACGAGGAAUAAAGAUUUAUCGGUUGUGGAUGGGGAUGCGUCUGAUUAGCUUGUGGGAGGGGUAACGGCCCACCAAGGCAACGAUCAGUAGGGGUUCUGAGAGGAAGGUCCCCCACAUUGGAACUGAGACACGGUCCAAACUCCGACGGGAGGCAGCAGUGAGGAAUAUUGGUCAAUGGGCGGAAGCCUGAACCAGCCAAGUAGCGUGCAGGAUGACGGCCCUAUGGGUUGUAAACUGCUUUUAUACAGGAAUAAAGUUAGCCACGUGUGGUUAUUUGUAGGUACUGUAUGAAUAAGGACCGGCUAAUUCCGUGCCAGCCGCCGCAGUAA